rnacentral:rRNA from 1 species
GAUGAACGCUGGCGGCGUGCCUAAUACAUGCAAGUCGAGCGAACAGACGAGGAGCUUGCUCCUCUGACGUUAGCGGCGGACGGGUGAGUAACACGUGGAUAACCUGCCUAUAAGACUGGGAUAACUUCGGGAAACCGGAGCUAAUACCGGAUAAUAUAUUGAACCGCAUGGUUCAAUAGUGAAAGACGGUUUUGCUGUCACUUAUAGAUGGAUCCGCGCCGCAUUAGCUAGUUGGUAAGGUAACGGCUUACCAAGGCAACGAUGCGUAGCCGACCUGAGAGGGUGAUCGGCCACCCUGGAACUGAGACACGGUCCAGACUCCUACGGGAGGCAGCAGUAGGGAAUCUUCCGCAAUGGGCGAAAGCCUGACGGAGCAACGCCGCGUGAGUGAUGAAGGUCUUCGGAUCGUAAAACUCUGUUAUUAGGGAAGAACAAAUGUGUAAGUAACUAUGCACGUCUUGACGGUACCUAAUCAGAAAGCCACGGCUAACUACGUG